UACGAAGGGGGCUAGCGUUGCUCGGAAUUACUGGGCGUAAAGCGCACGUAGGCGGCUUGGUAAGUUAGAGGUGAAAGCCUGGAGCUCAACUCCAGAAUUGCCUUUAAGACUGCCGAGCUAGCAGGUGAGAGAGGUGAGUGGAAUUCCGAGUGUAGAGGUGAAAUUCGUAGAUAUUCGGAAGAACACCAGUGGCGAAGGCGGCUCACUGGCUCAUACUGGACGCUGAGGUGCGAAAGCGUGGGGAGCAAACAGG
rnacentral:rRNA from 1 species